rnacentral:rRNA from 1 species
CAGUAGCCGCGGGAAUACGGAGGGAGCUAGCGUUGUUCGGAAUUACUGGGCGUAAAGCGCACGUAGGCGGCUUUGUAAGUUAGAGGUGAAAGCCUGGAGCUCAACUCCAGAAUUGCCUUUAAGACUGCAUCGCUUGAAUCCGAGAGAGGUGAGUGGAAUUCCGAGUGUAGAGGUGAAAUUCGUAGAUAUUCGGAAGAACACCAGUGGCGAAGGCGGCUCACUGGCUCGGUAUUGACGCUGAGGUGCGAAAGCGUGGGGAGCAAACAGGAUUAGAUACCCCGGUAGUCCCUGUCUCUUAUAC